UUGUGCUCACACAUUUUUUUUAAAUACUAAUUUCUGUUAAAAUGUCGUUUUAAAAAGUGCAAACUGAUUGGUUCAGUUACCUGUCAAUCAGAAACCUAGUAGUGGGCUAGGAGCUGGAUUGGAAACAGCUGGGAGCAGAAAGAGCAAAACUAAUUGAAUAAACCAGCAAAGCAGCUAAACUCCUGCUCAAAACCUGUCCAAACUCUUACUAAAGGACAGUUAAAGCACCUGUGAGACUCUUUAAAUCAUCUUUAAUGAGAGAAGUCUGUCUGUCUGAUUGGCUGAGGGGAGCUGAGGAUGAUACAGUAGCUGGAGGAUCUGACCUUGCGUAGGAGCGAUCGCUCAGCGUUAUUGAGUCGGGUCGGGGGUGACAGUAUUUAUCACGGCUGCACAGUAUUUUGGGGGUUGCAGAGACGAAUCGACCAGUUGACCAGGACUUCCUCCAGUCAAUGCAGUGGGGAGCUGUCUGUAAGUUUGAAGAAGAAAAACAAAUCAUCAGAAAUUUACACUAAAGGUGAGUAAUGUAUUAAAUAUCUCUUGACUGCACACAGACAGUGAUUUUACAGAAUAAUACUUAAAGUAUUAUACUUUUGACAAAUGCUUGCAAGUUAACUUUGA